GAGCGGAAGGCCCUUCGGGGUACUCGAGCGGCGAACGGGUGAGUAACACGUGAGCAACCUGCCCUAGGCUUUGGGAUAACCCUCGGAAACGGGGGCUAAUACCGAAUAGGACCUGACCUCGCAUGGGGUUGGGUGGAAAGUUUUUCGGCCUGGGAUGGGCUCGCGGCCUAUCAGCUUGUUGGUGGGGUGAUGGCCUACCAAGGCGACGACGGGUAGCCGGCCUGAGAGGGCGACCGGCCACACUGGGACUGAGACACGGCCCAGACUCCUACGGGAGGCAGCAGUGGGGAAUAUUGCACAAUGGGCGGAAGCCUGAUGCAGCGACGCCGCGUGAGGGAUGACGGCCUUCGGGUUGUAAACCUCUUUCAGCAGGGACGAAGCGCAAGUGACGGUACCUGCAGAAGAAGCGCCGGCCAACUACGUGCCAGCAGCCGCGGUAAGACGUAGGGCGCGAGCGUUGUCCGGAUUUAUUGGGCGUAAAGAGCUCGUAGGCGGCUUGUCGCGUCGACCGUGAAAACUUGGGGCUCAACCCCAAGCCUGCGGUCGAUACGGGCAGGCUAGAGUUCGGUAGGGGAGACUGGAAUUCCUGGUGUAGCGGUGAAAUGCGCAGAUAUCAGGAGGAACACCGGUGGCGAAGGCGGGUCUCUGGGCCGAUACUGACGCUGAGGAG
rnacentral:rRNA from 1 species